GGCUCAUGACAAAUGAAUUAAUGUCCAAUCUGAACAUGAAGGGGAGAGGGGGAAAAACUGCCUUUGCCGAGACGAAGCUGCUCGAUGUAGUCACAGGUAGUGUCUUGGAUACCCAGAAGGGGACCGAAACGAUGGUCCAUGAUGCCAUAAAAAAUAAACUGAAAUAUGCCCCUGGACGGAAGGGAGGAAUAGGAUGGGCAUCACAGGCUAAAUAAAUAAUUAUAUCGAU